rnacentral:tRNA from 1 species
UAGAGCUUAGGUUAAUUAAACUUUGAAUUUUCGAGAUUCAAGAUGCAUAACAGUUUUAG